UGAUCAUGGCUCAGAUUGAACGCUGGCGGCAGGCCUAACACAUGCAAGUCGAGCGGUAGCGGGAAGAGCUUGCUCUUUGCCGACGAGCGGCGGACGGGUGCGUAACACGUAGGAAUCUGCCCGGUAGUGGGGGAUAGCCCGGAGAAAUCCGGAUUAAUACCGCAUACGCCCUAAGGGGGAAAGCAGGGGAUCUUCGGACCUUGCGCUAUCGGAUGAGCCUGCGUCGGAUUAGCUUGUUGGUGGGGUAAAGGCCUACCAAGGCGACGAUCCGUAGCUGGUCUGAGAGGAUGAUCAGCCACACUGGGACUGAGACACGGCCCAGACUCCUACGGGAGGCAGCAGGA
rnacentral:rRNA from 1 species